AAGAAUGAAACACAUACCACCUAAUUAUGAUAAAAUUAGAUUUAGAUAUCCACCAAGAUAUUAUAAAUAUAAUUUAAAAUGAAUAAAGUACAAUAAUACAAAGAAUUAAAACAAAUUAUCUCUGAAAAACGUAAAGAAUUAAAAAUAAGAAUAAAAAGACUACAUUAUAAUAUAUUUGCCGGAGUUAGCAAAAAUUCAAUAAAUACACAAAAAGAUGAAAUAUCAAAAUUGG
rnacentral:lncRNA from 1 species